ACUGAACGCUGGCGGCAGGCUUAACACAUGCAAGUCGAACGACUGGCGGACAGGUGAGUAAUGCUUGGGAACCUAGCCUAUGGAGGGGGAUAACUACGGGAAACUGUAGCUAAUACUGCGUACCAUAGGAUGAGCUCAUGUGGGAUUAGGUAGUUGGUGAGGUAACGGCUCACCAAGCCGACGAUCUCUAGCUGAUCUGAGAGGAUGACCAGCCACACGGGAACUGAGACACGGCCCAGACUCCUACGGGAGGCAGCAUUGGGGAAUGUUUCGCAAUGGGGGCAACCUGACGCAGCCAUGCCGCGUGAGUGAAGAAGGCCUUCGGAUUGUAAAGUUCUGUCGGUAGCGAGGCGUUAUCUACAGAAGAAGCACCGGCUAACUACGUGCCAGCAGCCGCGGUAAUUC
rnacentral:rRNA from 1 species